GAAAGAGUAGCUUAACACAAAGCAUAACACUGAAAAUGUUAAGAUAGCUAACAAACUCUCAUUCA
rnacentral:tRNA from 1 species